GCGUUGGUGGUAUAGUCUUUUGGUUAGCAUAGCUGCCUUCCAAGCAGUUGACCCGGGUUCGAUUCCCGGCCGACGCA
rnacentral:tRNA from 1 species